GUCUGUAGUAGUCCUGCGCUGGUCUGUAGUAGUCCUGUACUGGUCUGUAGUAGUCCUGUGCUGGUCUGUAGUAGUCCUGUGCUGGUCUGUAGUAGUCCUGUGCUGGUCUGUAGUAGUCCUGUACUGGUCUGUAGUAGUCCUGUACUGGUCUGUAGUAGUCCUGUGCUGGUCUGUAUAACUGCUGUGCUGGUCUGUAGUAGUCCUGUGCUGGUCUGUAGUAGUCCUGUGCUGGUCUGUACUGCUCUGUGUCCAGGGCUCUACAGUGUCUGCGGUAGGUAGUCCUGUGCUGGUCUGUAGUAGUCCUGUACUGGUCUGUAGUACUAUUGUGCUGGUCUGUAGUAGUCCUGUACUGGUCUGUAGUACUGCUGUGCUGGUCUGUAGUAGUCCUGUGCUGGUCUGUAGUAGUCCUGUACUGGUCUGUAGUACUCCUGUGCUGGUCUGUAGUAGUCCUGUACUGGUCUGUAGUAGUCCUGUACUGGUCUGUAGUAGUCCUGUGCUGGUCUGUAUAACUGCUGUGCUGGUCUGUAGUAGUCCUGUGCUGGUCUGUAGUAGUCCUGUGCUGGUCUGUACUGCUCUGUGUCCAGAGCUCUACAGUGUCUGCGGUAGGUAGUCCUGUGCUGGUCUGUAGUAGUCCUGUGCUGGUCUGUAGUACUGCUGUGCUGGUCUGUAGUAGUCCUGUGCUGGUCUGUAGUAGUCCUGUGCUGCUCUGUAGUAGUCCUGUACUGCUCUGUACUGCUCUGUGUCCAGGGCUCUACAGGGUCU
rnacentral:lncRNA from 1 species